GGGUCGUAAGGUCUCACCCUUGAAGCAUGGGUUUGAUUCUUUCGGAGUUGGUUCAUUUUUGUGAAGCUUCGUGCAAGCAUCCGUACCAUGACUUCUCUUUUGAGCCAAAUCAAACCAAUGGGAUUGUUUUGCUAUAUUUUAAACUGAAGGGACUAUUUUUGUAACGAUUUAAUUCAAGAGGGAUUAUUUUGUAAUUUCAAACAAGUGGAGGUGCUGGUUUGUAAUUUCAUGAACAAAUUGGGAUUGUUUUGGUUAAUAAAUACCAGGGAAGGGGUUGUUUGUGGAUAAAUGGAAUCACUUUUUGGGAAUUGGGACCUAUUUUGAAUAAAGAAUUUAACAAUGGGGGCAUUUUAGUCAUUUCAUAAUUAAAAUGACUUUGGGUUUUAAGUCCCAUGUUUAAUGGUCCACUUAAAAAAAGAAUUUGGGGAUUGGGACCUAUUUUGAAUAAACAAUUUAACAAUGGGGGCAUUUUAGUCAUUUCAUAAUUAAAAUGACUUUGGGUUUUAAGUCCCGUGUUUAAUGGUCCACUUAAAAAAAGAAUUUGGGGAUUGGGACCUAUUUUGAAUAAACAAUUUAACAAUGGGGGCAUUUUAGUCAUUUCAUAAUUAAAAUGACUUAGGGUUUUAAGUCCCGUGUUUACGUUUGAUUGAGCAAAUAGGAAGAACGACAACAGACAAACGAAGAGAGGAAAACGAAAGCUCGUAAGCGGCAAAUCCGGAGGUCUUGGGUCGAUGGAUCGUAAAGGGAGUGUCUCCGAGGGUUAAACGAGGCCGAAGGGGAAAAUGGUUGAAGCAGUGAGGCUUCCCUCUUCUCGUUCGGCUGCGGGGAGCGAAUUCCGGGUUUCGCAAGCAGCAAUAGCUUCGAAGCAAGCGAGGUUUCCGGAGGUUUUGCUGGACCGGAGAAGGGGAUAUGUGCGAGAGGUUCAAUCAGUGGGAAGGAGGGGUUGCGAUGGGGCAAAGAAAUCAGCGACGGCAGGGGUGGUUUGGACCUGCCUUGAAAUCGACGAAGGGAAGAGGUCAGAAGAGGGGUCCGAUAAGAGAUAUGCACUCGCAAUCGAUUGAGCUGCUGAGAGGGAAGGGGAAGUGCGAGAGGCGGUGACAGGUGCGUGAAUGAGGGCUGCUCCGGCAGCGCCCCUGAUCUUCUUCUUUCUCUCUUCUUCUUUUUUUUUUUUUUUUUUUUUUUAUAUGUUUUNGUGUUCAUCUUGAACAGGUGGAGAAAGGGGGUUGACUGGAACAUAUGGCGAACAGGGGGGUGUUUGCCUCGUGGUCUUCGAUGGAAGGACGGGUGUUUUGCUGAAACGGGGACUGAAAAAGAAGGCAAACACGAAGAGUUCCUUUUUUUUUUCUUUUUUUUUCUGAAUCUGAUCAAUUUUUAUGCUCAAGAGUUUAAUUGUUGUUUGAUUGCUUGUGAAUCAGUUAUAUACCACACAGUAUUUUCCUCAUACCUGUGUGUGAGCUGUAAUACAGGCGAAAAAUGUGGGAAGAAAAGAAAAUAGUGGAGUGCAAGAAUUCAUUUCCUUUUUGAGUGUUUCUUUGUAUAAAAUGAACUUGGAAGAAACUAUUACCUUGGCUGUCGAAUUUUACUUCAUAAUUGAUGUGAUUAUUUGACUUUAUAUGUUAUGUGUUUAAUUUGUGCGUUGAUUUGUACAUUUGAUUCAAUGGGUAUGUAUUUGGUUGAUGUAGGGUAUUUAUUGAGGAUAAUGACUUGAAAGGGUAACGAACUUUCGACUUUUGUC
rnacentral:lncRNA from 1 species